rnacentral:rRNA from 1 species
UACGGAGGAUCCAAGCGUUAUCCGGAUUCAUUGGGUUUAAAGGGUGCGUAGGCGGAAUGAUAAGUCAGCGGUGAAAUCCCUCGGCUUAACCGAGGAACUGCCGUUGAUACUGUCAAUCUUGAGUACAUUUGAUGUGGGCGGAAUGUGUCAUGUAGCGGUGAAAUGCUUAGAUAUGACACAGAACACCGAUUGCGAAGGCAGCUCACAAAACUGUAAACUGAACGCUGAGGCAACGAAAGCGUGGGUAUCAAACAGG